rnacentral:lncRNA from 1 species
AAUUUGUAAAGAUUAACAAUUGAUUUCUUGGACCUCUCAUUACACUUUUAAGCCCAAUUAAACCCUAGGUCAGCUUCAGGAACUUUAGGUUAAGCUAUUAGUAUAAAUAGGAUAUGUUUAACAACAUUAGAUGAGACAACUUUUGAGAGAUUCAAGAUGAAAUGCCCAUACUUUGAUAUGGUGAUAAAUAAAGUUGGUCGGAUGCGAAUUGAG